rnacentral:rRNA from 1 species
GACGAACGCUGGCGGCGUGCCUAAUACAUGCAAGUCGAACGAGAGCAACCGGCGCUUGCACUGGUCACGCUAGUGGAGAACGGGUGAGUAACGCGUGGGUAACCUGCCCAUCAGAGGGGGAUAACAUCGGGAAACGGACGCUAACCCCGCAUAAGCUUCUGAACCGCGUGGUUGGUAGGGGAAAAGCGGCGCUUGCGUCUGCUGUUGGAGGUACCCGCGUUGCAUUAGCUAGUGGGUCAGGUAACGGCUCACCAAGGUCGGUAUGCGUAGCCGACCUGAGGGGGGGAUCGGCCACAUGGGAACUGAGACACGGCCCAGACUCCUACGGGAGGCAGCAGUAGGGAAUCUUCCGCAAUGGUCGCGAGUCUGACGGAGCAACGCCGCGUGAGUGAAAAAGGUUUUCGGAUCGUAAAACUCUGUUGUUAGUGAAGAACAAGUGCGAGAGUAACUGUUGGCGCCUUGACGGUAUCUAAUCAGAAAGCCACGGCUAACUACGUG